UUGUGAUCCAUUCUUAAACCCUAGCCCGAGUCCCCAACUCUUCAAAUACAGACCGCUAUAUAUAUGACUACAAAUCACAACCGUCGCCAUGAUUUUGAGCUGAAACGAAAUUCGUUUCGCUGUUAAGUCGGUAAUGUCUUCUUCUUGAUUGUCAAUAUAUUUGUUGAUUAUUUCACAUUUUAGUUUCAAUGUCGGUUUUUAAUUUAGGUUUUAUUUUUUUUCUUGGAAUUCUCAUUUUCUUGUUUGAUUUAGAUCUUACAUAGAAAUAAGCCUCCGCCGAUGAUGGUGUUAAAUAUACUUCGAGUAUUUCACUAUGAAACGAAUAUUAAUCUGAGGUUCCGAGGCGUUAAACCUGAUUUUGUUCCUUCUUAUUUUUGAAUUUGUUAUUAAUUUAUUUUUGGCUAUAAAUUUAUUUAACUUGAUUCCUUUCGCUGAAAUACAAUAUUUUGUAAUUUCAUUUAAUUAAUUUAAAUAAAUUUGUUAAUGCAAGUGACGAUAAAACAGACAGGGACAUCAGAACUCUCUUGAGAGUAUGAUGAUUUGUCGAUGGGAAUCUCUCUGAUGCAUAAUCUAAAUUUUAUUUAUUUAUUUAUUUUGCAAUUAAUUCUACCUUGUUCUUACCGAAGAAUGUGAAAGGUAUGCCAGUGAUGCAUAUAUUGCAUAAUUAUGAGAUUAAACUAUGAUUAUUUAUGCAUAUGAAUCAUCGCAGCUGAGGCAUUCUCCCAGUGUCCAAACGAUUUUCUUUUUUGACCUUGUGCUUGUUCUAGGUUGUGUUAUGUUUGGUCUAAUUGUGCUGGAUCAGCGCGAGGCAGCUAUACUUCUAUAAAAAAUUGUAAUAAUUGAUGCCAUACCACGCAUAUGCUUCCGGAAUUUAUGUUUUUGGUUUGCCUGUGAUGCAUUUCUUAUAAUAAGUAUUAUCAGAGAUAAAAGAUGAUGAUGAUACGAGAUUGUCACUACCUCUGAGGCAAAUAUUUUUAUAGUUGUAAACACUUUUGUCUUUUUUCAAUUUUCCACGAAUUAUUGUCUUGAUUAUGAUAAAAAUUUUAGCAGUUACCAAUUAAAGUCAAUAGUGUAUUUUCCCUCUGGAUUGCUGAAAGGAUUUUUCGUACGUGAAUUUUUUGUAUUUUUAAAUCCUUUUUUUUUUAUUGGGGUAUUCGAUAAUUAGGAAGAUUUUUCUUUUAUAGAUUAAUCGUUUGUUCAAAAGUCCAUUUUUAGUUGUAAGAUAUAGGAUUUUGAUUAGUGAGUUUAGUUAUAAACUUGGUGGAGUUUUUGUGGGAUGAGGCACUUGCCUCAUUUAGAUAGUGGUUUCACAUGGAUUCAUAGAAUUUACAUUGGUUGCUUGGUAGUUGUAUUGUGGCCUGGGAGGCCAUGAGCCCCGCGGAUUCUGCAUCAGAGCAUUCCCUCUAGCAUGCUGCUUAUUUAUGUCCACUUGUUUAGGUUAAAAUUGUUUAUAUGAACUGUUCUUAGAAGUUGGUGUCUUAUUUCAGAAACCAGGUAAUGCCUGAUGAUUACCACAAAGAACGGAGAUAUGAAUGGUGCCCAUUGUGGAAGCCUGGUUACCACUUGGGCUCCAAUGGCAUCAGAUGAAAUUAACUCUUUCACUCACAAUGAAGGCAUACUUUAUAGAGGUGCAUUUUGACAUUUUUGAUAUGCAAGGGUAAUUGUCGCAAAACACUCAUAUCAUUUGUCUUCAUUGAGCAAAUCAUCCCCAUGGUUUUAAUUUUGGCAUUUGGUUACUCAGACUGUUCUUUCUUUGUACGAAAUAUCCUUAUUGUUUGUAUCUUUCAUUAACCGCUUUAAGUUUUGUAAAAUGACAAAUUUACUCUUUUUUUAAAUGAACGAAUUGUAAUUAGUGAAACUUAUUUACACUUUCUGGAAAGAUUUAGUGUUCCUGUUGAAAUUAUUUCUUUAUUUUAGUUUUUUCUUCUUUUGCUUUUGGUUUAUUGAAACACGAGGAAAAAUUCAUUAUUUUAAAAACUUCAUCGAAGGAAAUAGACACAAGGAUGAUUCGCACAAAUUAAAUUCGAUGGAUCCAAGUAUCGUUUUUUACCUUUGUUUAUAUUUUUUGUAGUAAAGGGUUAGCUUCUUCUAAAAUUUCUUCUAACUCGACAAAGUGUAAGUGUUAUGUUUUACGUUUAAUCAACUUUGGACAUCAACAUUUUUAAUAUAUAAUUGAUGAAAUUUUAUGGUAAAUCUAUUAUUUAAUUUAUAUUAAGUUAAAUUAAAUAAUAGAGUCAUAUUCAAAUAUUUAAUUAUAAAGAUU
rnacentral:lncRNA from 1 species